GAGAGCGGCGCACGGGUGCGGAACACGUGUGCAACCUGCCUUUAUCUGGGGGAUAGCCUUUCGAAAGGAAGAUUAAUACCCCAUAAUAUAUUGAGUGGCAUCACUUGAUAUUGAAAACUCCGGUGGAUAGAGAUGGGCACGCGCAAGAUUAGAUAGUUGGUGAGGUAACGGCUCACCAAGUCAAUGAUCUUUAGGGGGCCUGAGAGGGUGAUCCCCCACACUGGUACUGAGACACGGACCAGACUCCUACGGGAGGCAGCAGUGAGGAAUAUUGGACAAUGGGUGAGAGCCUGAUCCAGCCAUCCCGCGUGAAGGACGACUGCCCUAUGGGUUGUAAACUUCUUUUAUACUGGGAUAAACCUACCCUCGUGAGGGUAGCUGAAGGUACAGUAUGAAUAAGCACCGGCUAACUCCGUGCCAGCAGCCGCGGUAAUACGGAGGGUGCAAGCGUUAUCCGGAUUUAUUGGGUUUAAAGGGUCCGUAGGCGGACUCGUAAGUCAGUGGUGAAAUCUCAUAGCUUAACUAUGAAACUGCCAUUGAUACUGCGGGUCUUGAGUAAAGUAGAAGUGGCUGGAAUAAGUAGUGUAGCGGUGAAAUGCAUAGAUAUUACUUAGAACACCAAUUGCGAAGGCAGGUCACUAUGUUUUAACUGACGCUGAUGGACGAAAGCGUGGGGAGCGAACAGGAUUAGAUACCCUGGUAGUCCACGCCGUAAACGAUGCUAACUCGUUUUUGGGUUUUCGGAUUCAGAGACUAAGCGAAAGUGAUAAGUUAGCCACCUGGGGAGUACGUUCGCAAGAAUGAAACUCAAAGGAAUUGACGGGGGCCCGCACAAGCGGUGGAUUAUGUGGUUUAAUUCGAUGAUACGCGAGGAACCUUACCAAGGCUUAAAUGGGAAUUGACAGGUUUAGAAAUAGAUCCUUCUUCGGACAAUUUUCAAGGUGCUGCAUGGUUGUCGUCAGCUCGUGCCGUGAGGUGUUAGGUUAAGUCCUGCAACGAGCGCAACCCCUGUCACUAGUUGCCAUCAUUCAGUUGGGGACUCUAGUGAGACUGCCUACGCAAGUAGAGAGGAAGGUGGGGAUGACGUCAAAUCAUCACGGCCCUUACGCCUUGGGCCACACACGUAAUACAAUGGCCGGUACAGAGGGCAGCUACUAUGCGAAUAGAUGCGAAUCUCGAAAGCCGGUCUCAGUUCGGAUUGGAGUCUGCAACUCGACUC
rnacentral:rRNA from 1 species